UACGAAGGGGGCUAGCGUUGUUCGGAUUUACUGGGCGUAAAGGGCGCGUAGGCGGGCGGCUAAGUCAGGGGUGAAAUCCCAAGGCUCAACCUUGGAACUGCCUUUGAUACUGGUUGUCUUGAGUCCGGGAGAGGUGAGUGGAACUGCGAGUGUAGAGGUGAAAUUCGUAGAUAUUCGCAAGAACACCAGUGGCGAAGGCGGCUCACUGGCCCGGAACUGACGCUGAGGCGCGAAAGCGUGGGGAGCAAACAGG
rnacentral:rRNA from 1 species